rnacentral:rRNA from 1 species
AUUGAACGCUGGCGGUAUGCCUAACACAUGCAAGUCGAACGGCAGCACAGUAAGGGCUUGCUCUGACGGGCGGAGAGUGGCGUACGGCAGCGGAACACACCGGAAUCUACUUUUUCGUGCGGGAUAACGUAGGCUAACACACCCUAAGACCGCAGACUACAUACGGGUGACAGCAGGGGAACGUCUGACCUCGCGCGUUUGAAUGAGCCGAUGUCGGAUUAGCUAGUUGGCGGGGUAAAGGCCCACCAAGGCGACGAUCCGUAGCUGGUCUGAGAGGAUGAUCAGCCACACUGGAACUGAGACACGGUCCAGACUCCUACGGGAGGCAGCAGUGGGGAAUUUUGGACAAUGGGCGCAAGCCUGAUCCAGCCAUACCGCGUGCGGGAAGAAGGCCUUCGGGUUGUAAAGCCCUUUUGUUGGGAAAGAAAAGCAGCAGGUUAAUACCCCGCUGUAAUGACGGUACCCAAAGAAUAAGCACCGGCUAACUUCGUG